GCGCACACCAUCUUUGGACCUUGAGUGUGACGCGAUCGGGAGGGGUAGGCGGUCGCGCUGGGGGUGGCGCGACACGGCUCGGGCCCGCCAGUGCCCCAACGGGGCCCUAGUUAUUAUUUUUCCUCCGCUUUAAACUGGAAAAUGGCCCACUUCCCACUGGCGAAAACUCAGGAAAUUUGGCAGGACGACCGGGCCUGGUGAAAAAUUUGAUAUUCUGAAGUCGCCCAAACAAUAAAAUGCAAAAUGGCUCCAUAGCGCCCCCUAAGGUGAAAAUUCACAUGACGGCUGUACGCUUUGUCAUAUUGACACAAAAAUUGACACACACAUGUAUCUCAAUAAGAUCUACAAAAAAGUCAGCGCAGGCGUAUCUGUCAAAUGUACGGUUAAUGGGUUAUUUUGCAUUUUUUGCCGAUCUGCACACAUUGGAAUUUCGCUAACUCCUCCGAAGGCAUUCGUUCCACCGGCACCACAUUUGCUCAGGCCAAUCUACACCCCAUGGCCAUUAAAAGUUGUACAAAUCAUGACGCUGCACCCCACGGUUUACGUUCUAGGGGGCGCCAAAGAUAACCCAAAAAUCCACAGUCUUAUAAGUCUUAUAACUUUUUAUUUUUGUCCUCACUGGCCUCCAAGUUCUCUAGGAUGAUGCAAUGUCCAGCCAUCAACACAUUUGUGAAGGAAUUUUUACUCCCCAAAAGAGCGCCCCCACAUGGCAGGAGAAAAAAGUCCAUUUUUUCUUGUCCCCUAAGGUGAAAAUACACAUUGUUGAGUGUCACGCCUAUACGCUUUGUCAUAUUGACCCAAAAUUUGACAAUCACGUGUAUCUCAAUAAGAUCUACGAAAAAGUCAAUAGGCACGUAUCUGUAAAAUGUACGGUUAAAGGGUUAUUUUGCAUUUUUUCCCGAUCCGCACACAUUGGAAUUUCGCUAACUCCUCCGAAGGCUUUAGUUCCACCGCCACCAAAUUUGCUCAGGCCAAUCUACACCCCAUGGCCAUUCAAAGUUGUACAAAUCAUGACGCUGCACUCCACGGUUUAGGUUCUAGGGGGCGCCAAAGAUGACCCAAAUAUACAUUACAGCAGACAAAGUAGUUUUGCCCACUGAGUGGCGCCAAAGGGACUUGUCUAUUGAGUCUGGGAGUCACUAUUGGCCGUUUUUGACUACUUUAGAUUUUACCUUUAUAUUUCCUCUUAAAAUUUUUUUACCUUGCCUUGCCUGGUAUCAUUUUUUUUCAGCACAACCUCACCUGUGUGAAUUUACAGUUAUUUUAUCAUUUUGACAUACUGUAUUUACACAAUGGACCCAAAUUCACACACAAAACAUAAAAUCCGAGUGGAAAAAAGUAACAUUUUUACUGUGAAAACCACAAAUAUGUGUGAUGAACUGUUUUUAAAACUUAAACUUCAAAUAAAAAUUGUAAACUUCAAAACAUAUGCAAAUUUUUAACAAAGAACAUAGUAAUUUACCUCUAUUUACAUCAAAAUGCAGGCAAUGGCCCAGGCGUUCUUUGUAAAAUUAUUUACAAAACGCUGUAUAGUCUCACAAAUGUCACUUUUAUUUAUGCCACUACAAAAAAUCAUGAUGUAAAUGAUGCAUGAUGUAAAACAUGAUGUAAAAAACUUGUGUAGAUCCUCCUCUAUGUUAGUCCAUGUGUAAUUUUUCCAUAAUUCUUUGUUUUUUGCAGCAUUUUUGUUAGUGUAACUGCAGAUUGUGCUGACAGUGUCUAUGGCAAAAAAAAAAAAAAAACUGAAAAUGCCUCAACAUGAACCCCUGGUGGUCUCUGAGGGUGAAACCUGCUAACUGCUGCAGAUCUGUCAGCUUCAUGCAGAGCUCGGAGCACAUGUGUGGCUCUGCACCAUUAGCAGCGUUGCUAACUCCUCAGUAAGGAAAGCCUGCUUCAUGUCUGAGUCUCUAAACUCCAGAAGAAGUCGAUAGAAGUCCCUUUCUUUCUAAAAAAAAAAAAGGCGUUAGGUGGUCUGAAAAGUCUUUGAAUCUAACAACAAAGUCGCUAGGUUUGCAACUACGUGUCCCAGACUGCAUCCCUGCUGAGAGUCCCUCCCUCCCUUCUCAUGUUGCAGGAAGACCGUAAGCGCCCGCCCCUUGUCAAUCAGUCACCAUAUAAUUUUGGAUUGGUUGUUGUGGUGAAGUUUUCCACCAAUAGGAGAAAUGUUGUGGUGUGUUUUUUUUUUCUUUUGGCAAGCCUUUUCCGCCUGUAAGACCUGUCGCUAAUGUCUGCAUGCUAUGUUUUCCUGUCUCAUACAGCGCGAUCGAGCGCCGAACGUGAUCAAAAUAAGCAGAAAAAAAGUAUUGCAGACAUAAUUUAUCAUAACUCUGGUUUUAUUUGGCCUAUCAACACAAUUUAAAAACUGGUAUAUAGUUUAAGGUCCUCACUUUGGAGAUAAGUUGAAACGGAGAGUCAACGAGGCUCCGUCUUGCAGCUACAUCCGGUUAAAUAUGUCAUGUGACUUGAACGCUGGGGAGCGUCAAUCGACUGCAGAGCCAGCAGACAAAGUAGUUAUGGCCAUUGAGAGGCACACAUUUGUCAUAUGCUAUAAUCCUAACAUAUUUUAAUGCUUUUUCUAUUUAAACCUAAUGGAUCUAAGGUUUGACCUUCAAAAUUUAGGAAGAAUAUGUUUUUGCAGAAAUGACCCCCUUAAACAACCAGAGGUCCUUUCCUAAAGUUUAUGGAAAUUUUAGUGAAGGCCUUGGUUUCUGUCCUUGCAAAAUGCAUAGAAAUAAUAAAGCUAAAUACCAUAAAAUGGUCUUGGCGUAUUAGCAGUGAUAUAAAAUAGUGGUUUGAAUAUGAAUGAACAACAAAAAAAAACAUCAACAGAGCCUUUUUGUGUUGGGAUUCUUUCAUUAUUACACAAAAACAGACAUAGACAGACAUCUAAAGGGUAAGGGAAUGAUCAGCCCUCCUGACUCUCAGAUGAAUCUUCAAAAUUCACCUCAGAAAUAUGCUUAUUCUUCUCAGAGUACUGCAGGAUUCACACACACACACACACACACACACACACACACACACACACACACACACACACACACACACUCAGAGUCUUUUUUUUAGCACCUGCAAAAACAUGCUAUUUACAUAUUUGACAAGAAUGCAGAGGCUCCUUUUGCCCCUGAAAAAAAUCAAAUUUCAAACACAACUUGACUGCUCAUUUCUCCAAAAGACAAACAUGAAGCUCCAUCCAAACCUGAAGCAGGCAGUUGGUGCAUGUGUAUAGUAACCUGAGGGGAGUGAGGUGACUGCUUCUGAGGAGAACAUGAGCAGUGAAGAUUCACCUUGGAGCUAGAACAGGGACGUGCACAUGAUUAUACAGGGGCAGGGGCUCAAGUUUUUUCCAGUCGUUUAUACAAUAUGGAAAUUAAUGUGAAAUUAAAAACAAAGUAUUAAUAGAAAGGUAAUGACUGUCCUGUGUAGGUGACCGUGAUAUCCAAUAGGCUAGGCACUCACAAGGCUGGCUGUGGCAAGUGUAAGUGAAAGCAACAUGCACUGGCAGGAAGAACAGCUAACACAGAUGAAGGAAAAGGGUCUUUGCAGUGAUGGGCGUCACCAGAGAGGGCGACAGCCAGAGGACGUGAAUGGGACAGGGAGGCGGUCGCGCUGGGGGCGGCGCGACGCGGCUCGGGCCCGACAGUGCCCCACCGGGGCCCUAGUUCUUUCUUUCUUUCUUUCUUCUUAUUUUUCCUCCCCUUUGAAGGGGAAAAUGGCCCACUUCCCACUGGCGAAAACUCAUGAAAUUUGGCAGGAUGACCGGGCCUGGUGAAAAAUUCGAUAUUCUGAAGUCGCCCAAACAAUAAAAUGCAAAAUGGCUCCAUAGCGCCCCCUAAGGUGGAAAUUCACACUAUUGACUGUCACGCCUGUACGCUUUGUCAUAUUGACACAA